rnacentral:rRNA from 1 species
UACGUAGGGGGCAAGCGUUGUCCGGAUUUAUUGGGCGUAAAGAGCUCGUAGGCGGUUCCGUAAGUCGGGUGUGAAAAAUCUGGGCUCAACCCAGUGGAGCACCCGAUACUGCGGUGACUCGAGUCCGGUAGGGGAGUGUGGAAUUCUUGGUGUAGCGGUGAAAUGCGUAGAUAUCAAGAGGAACACCUGCGGCGAAGGCGGGUUGCUGGGCCGACACUGACGCUGAGGCGCGAAAGCCAGGGGAGCGAACGGG